GCCGGCGCCUGGGCCAUCUAGGGGUGAAGUUACGCGGUUAUCGAAUUCCCCUUCCCUGGAGCCCCUGGAAAGACGUUGUUGCCAAAAACAGAGGCGGGGGCCGGGAGGGGGGAAUCCAACUCUUUGUUUUUAUCUAGGACCCGAUCUCGUGAUUCCCUCCCCCCAUUUCUCCCAGGGCUGUGGAGGGGGUUCCCGCGGGAGUUGGGCAAAGCGUGGGACGAGGACAGGUGCCUGGCACUGGGGUUUCAGAGUCGCAAAUACGCCCCAAAGGCUGGGAUGGAACGCCAGUCCCCACUCGAAGCCACUUCCAUAGAGUCGGGGCCAGGUGCGCAGCGUCCCGCGCGAUUACCUCCACUUGUCCCUUCCCCUCGCGGCCCCGCGCGCCCUGGAGCCCGCGCCCUCCUUCCCGACCCGGGGCAGCCUAGCCAGGAGCCGCGGCGGCGGCGUCUCUACCGAGGGAAGGUGGUCCCCACGCGCUCCGGCCUCAGGGCCCUCUCCACCCGCCUCGCCGCUUUCCUGUCCUGCCCACGGCCGAGGCCCCGGCAGCUGGGGUGGCCUGGAGGGUGCAGGGCCGGGCGGGGGGCGGCAGGACUGGAACUGGCGCCUGCUCUCGCGGAGGCAUCAGUAGAGCUCGCCCAGUUCUCGGGAAAUAUUUUUAUCAUUGAUAAAACGCAGUCCCCAAAGCGAGGGUCCUAUGGGCGGCCAGACGCACCGCGGGGACCUGCAGAUGCUAAUAUUCUGCUGUCUGGGAUGUACCAUAUCCAUGUGUGGCCUUUUGUGUGGACAUAGCUUUCAACUCAUCUGGGUAACACCAAGGAGUAUGAUUGCUGUAUCAUAUGCUGAGUAUAUUUUGUUUUGUAAGAAACCUCCAAACUGUCUUCCAGUAUGGCUACACUACGCUGCCUUCCAACACAAUGACUGGGAGUUCCUGUUGCUCCAUAUUCUCACAAGCAUUUGAAAUUGUCAGUGUUCUAGAUUUUGGCCACUCUAAUAGAGACAGGCUUUCACCAUGUUGCCCAGGCUGGUUUUUCUUUGGGGCAUUGAGCAUCUGCUUCCAACAGUCUAAAGGCUCAAGCUGGUUGUCUGAAGACUUUAAAACCCCUGGUUUUAUCACCAUGUGUGAGAUAUGGAUCCAAGUUUAUUUUUUUGCAUGUGGAUAUUCAAUUGUUCUAGCACCAUUUGUGGAACUUUAAACAUGCAUUUAAAGGUGUGUAUGCAUGCUGGUUUGUCAGUGGGAUAGACUGGGCUAGUUAUUUACCUAUAUCUCUCAGCUCUAAAUCUUCCUUCUAAACCCCGCUCUGUGCAGCUGGGGCUGGGGCUCUACAAACCCUGUGUCCUAGACUCCCUUGCCAGUUGACUUUCUGUCAGCUCUGCAAAUAAGAACUGUUAAGAAGGGACUGGAAAACAGAAGGGAAUAAGAAGAGGCUUCCUUCUUAAUUGCUAGCUUCUGUUAGCAGCAGCCAAUGCCAUGGCCCUAGCUCCCAGUCUUCACCCGAGUCAGGUGGGACCCCUUUGAGAAAUAGAGUUUCAUCCCUCCACCUCCUUCACCUGCCAGUCUGAAUGUCCUCUGUGGAGGUCCCACCGCCUACUCGUCUGUAUCCUCUUCUCAGAGGUCUCGGCAUCAGCCACAGGACUCUCCUCUUCUCCGUGGUACAACCAGCAGCUCCAAGCCCUGCCACAUACCCAGAGCUUGGGAAUCAGCCAUAGAGAGCCAAUCCCCUGGGAUCCCAGGGGCCUAUCCUCCAAGCACCUGCAUUCUGGAAACGUGUUCACCUCUAUUUCCUACAGUCAUGACACCGGUAACUCAGUGCUCCCUUUUGGUUUUUUCUUAGCCCUUCAAUACCUGUGUAAGUCUGCAUGAAGUCUCCACUGUUUGAACAGUGCGAUUCCCUGCUGAGCCCUCACAGAUACGCUGCGAGCCCAGUAGCCCUCAUCCGCUAGAUUCAGCCGUGUCAGGAAUGAUGUGGGGUUUUUUUUUUUGUUAUAAAUUUAACUCCUUAGAUGGACACAUGGUGAGCCUCAAUAAAUACUUUUUAAUCCAUCAGUGCAAGGACUGGUUGUUGAAAGUCAGCCAAGAGAACAAGUUUAAAUCUAAGCUCUGACAUUCACAGCUCGGGUGACCUCAGCUUCUUUUUUGGAAAUGAAAAUGUUUUCUGAGCACUUUUUCUGUGCCAGGUGCUUCCAGAUGUAUCUCAUUUAACCCUCAGAACAUAUCUCAGAGGAAGACAUCAUUCUUACAAGUAAGGAAAUAGAGGCUCAGAGAGAGACUGGCUUUGGGCUCAGUCUCUUUGUCCAUUCUAGGCUUUCCAUGCUGCUGUUCUAAGGCAGGGGAAAUGGGAAGGACUUUGCAACAUUCGCACUGAGGCCCUAAAAUAUGAACUGGAUCUUGGAAGACAGCUCCGCAGGCUUCAUCCAGGCCAUCUACCUUGCAAAUGGCGGGCUGUGAUUCCCACACCGCUGGAGUUUCUGGAGUCAGGGACUGCCAGAAUCCAGAAGGCAUUUUCUGUGCAUUUCAUGUAGUUCUCUAUCAGUUGCCUUUAUCUCCUCAUCUACAGACUGAUUAUAUAAAGUGUAUCAUUUGGAUGAAAUUAGAUACAUAAUUCUGAAUGCAUUCUUCCUUGGAAUAAAUUAUCUGAAGUUCAGUAUUUUAUUCUUACUAAUAAAUUCCAAGCAACACUCCUACUCAUAGGCCUGGCCUUCCCGUGCCAUUCCCUUUCCUUUCGUUUUUCCUUUUCCCUUCCAUUCCCUUCCCUUUUCUUUGUCUUCUCUUCUCCUAUCCUCUCCUUUCUUCUUUCCUUUACACAGAGUGGCACUUUGUCACCCAGACUGGCGUGCAUGGUGUGAUCUUGGCUCACUGCAAGCUCCACCUUUCAGGUUCAAGCAAUUCUCCUGCCUCAGCCUCCUGUGUAGCUGGGAUUACAAGCACGUGCCACCACGUGUGUCUGGCUAAUUUUUGUAUUUUGAGUAGAGAUGGGGUUUCACCAUGUUGACCAGGCUGAUCUGAAACUCCUGACCUCAAGUGAUCCAUGCGCCUUGGCCUCCCAAGGUGCUGGGAUGACGGGUGUGAGCCACCGCGCCCGGCCCCCUACAUUUUCUUGCUGGCCACCGUGCACACUAAGUUGCCAUAGCUGCCUGGCCAUCUGACUUGUCACUUUUUCAUCCCUGAUCUGACCUAGUGUGUCUGCUUUUGCAUGCCCAAGGGGUCAGAUUCUUCCACAGAGGACAGCCUUGCUAGGUCCAGGUUAAGGACUCCUGCUCAAGCACAUGUAAGAUGCAAGCCUGAUGGUGUCUGGGUCCUUCAGUGGUAUUCACGGCAGCCUGCGGAGCUGUCUUCCAAGAUCCAGUUCAUAUUUUAGGGCCCCAGUGUGAAUGUUGCAAAGUCCUUCCCAUUUCCCCUGCCUUAGAACAGCAGCAUGGAAAGCCUAGAAUGGAAAAAGAGACUGAGCCCAAAGCCAGCCGCUUGGGUCAUGAGGUAUGCCGGCUGCACAUUGCUCCACGUGGCUCCAUGUCUGUUGCCUCCAUGUCUGUUCCAACCCAACUGGGCUUGUGCAAAAGGAGCUCAGGGGGUCCUGCUCAUCACUGGAUCCCUUUAUUUAUGCUGUUGUUUUAAAGAGAAAGGAUCCCCAUGAAACGUCAGCCACAGGAACUGGGGACCUGUCAAUGAUCCCAAUAGGUAAGGAGGACUCAUUUGCAGGGAGCUUGAGGGGACCUUUCUACCACUCACAGUGGCCAGUAGGAACAGGACACAAGGUGAUGCCAAGCCUGGCACAGCGGCUGAGUAUCUUGACUCAUCCCAAAUCCCAGAGUAAAUUCAGGGCACCUGAGGCAGCUGCCAAGUGACAGAUGUCCUUUCAGAGCAGAUCUGGACAAGGCCCUUGUUUAUUUCUCUCCGUCACCUGCCCCUCCCUCUUUAAAAACCUGUGCAUUUUGUCUUCUUUUUCUCACUUUUGUCCUUUACAGGAACAUGAGAGCCACCUGGUGGAAGGUUUUAUUAGCAAUGAGGUCAAGGGAGAGUUUGGCAGCUUGGCAGAGCUACAGGUUGUGGGGAAGCAGCUGGGACAACAGCCCGAGAGAGGCGAUCUGUGCUUCCCUGGGCCACAGGGCAGGCUGACAUCAACUGCACAACAGUGCAUGGACCAGAAGGCUUUGCUCAGCGCGAGAGACAGGCUGGGUCACUUACUUUCUCACCACGCAUGGGGGCUGAGUGGAGGCCAGCAGGCGAGGCUCUGAAGCAGACAUGGCUGUCGCUGUGAGAGCAGGGAGCCAAGAAAACUAGCAACAAAGCAAGCAGCCUGCUCUUGGAGCCAGGCCCCAAGGGGCAGGUGUGGGGGCCUCCAUUCAAGUGUCAAGUGGGAAAAGUUCAGGCACUUUGCAGAGAUUCCACCAAUCUUGUGUUGAAGCCAGGCCCCGAUUGUGACAGCAAGGGGCCAGAGUCUUUUACCAAAAGGUAAAGGAGGGUACUCAGAUGGGACAGGUGUGGCCAAGCAGUUCUACCACCUUGGGCGAGACUUCUCCUAACUGGGAUUAGGCGCUCUCGCUGAAAACUCCACCCCUCCAGCAAUCCUCUGCGAUGGCCUGUGGUUUUCCUAAUGCCAGUCCCAGGAAAAUUUAUAGCCUUAAACACCUACAUAUCUAAACAAGGAAAGAAAGUGUCCAGCUUAAGAAAUUAGAAAAGGAGCAAUAAACCCAAGGAGAGCAGGAAAAAAGAAUAUAAAGUUGGAAAUUAAUAAGCAUAAUGGUCAUUUUGGGGGUGGGUAAUGGAGACGAACUACCGUAUAGCUUAUUCCAGAAGUAAAGUUAGCAAGCGCGAUCACACAUUAUACACGAAAAGGGCAAAAUAAGCAUGAAUACAGAGACACUAAUCAUUCCAGAGGAUUCUACAAUAACCUAGACAAAUACACUUGAAAACUUAAAUAGAGGAAAUGAUUUUCAAAAAAUAUAGAUGACCAAAAUGGGCCUUGAGAUAGAAAACUACGCAACAGACCAAUACCCAUGGAAGAUGUUGAGAAAGCUUCAAAAAAAUGACCUCCCAGCCCCACCCUCAAAAUCUGUUAAGUUUAAAUGGUUUCAAAGGUAAAUUCUUUCAAACUCUCCAGGAGUUUAUAAAUCUGAUACCAUCUGAAGUAUUUCAGAACGAGAAAAGAAAGAAUCAUUCAAAUUUCUCUUUAUAAACUGGCACAAUAUUCAUACAGAAUAAUUAAGAAGAAUGCAAAUAAAAAUAUGUAGAAAAAAAUUUUAAUAAAAUUUUUUGCUAACCCACUACACAUUCAUUAAAAUAGGCAAAAUCCAGAGCACUGACAACACCGAAUGCUGGUGAGGAUAUGGAGCAACAGGAACUCUCAUUCAUUGCUGGUGGGAAUGCAGAAUAGUGCAGACACUUUAGAAGACAGGCUGGGCCAGGCGCGGUGGCUCACGCCUAUAAUCCCAGCACUUUGGGAGGCUGAGGCGGGUGGAUCACGAGGUCAAGAGAUCAAGACCAUCCUGGUCAACAAGGUGAAACCCCGUCUCUACUAAAAAUACAAAAAUUAGCUGGGCGUCGUGGUGCACACCUGUAGUCCCAGCUACUUGGGAGGCUGAGGCAGGAGAAUUGCUUGAACCCAGGAGGCGGAGGUUGCGGUGAGCCAAGAUUGCGCCAUUGCACUCCAGCCUGAGUAACAAGAGUGAAACUCCGUCUCAAAAAAAAAAAAAAAAGACAGGUUGACAGUGUUACAAAUGAACAUACUCUUAUCAGACAACCCAGCAAUUGUGCUCCCUGACAUUUACCCAAAUGAAAUCUCUGUCCACAGAGAAACCUGCACAUGAAUGUUUAUGAAAGCUUUUUUUCAUAAUUGCCCAACUUUGGAAGCAACCAAGAUGUCCUUCAGUAGGUGAAUGGAUAAAUAAACUGUGCUUCAUCCAGACAAUAGAAUAUUAUUUCAUGCUAAAAUGAAACAAAUAUCGAACAAUGAGAAGACAUCAAGUGACCUGAAAUGAACUUCACCAAGUGAAAUAAAAUGUUACAGACUGUGAUUCCAGCCAUUCGACAUUCUAGAAAAGGCAAAACUACUGAGACAGUAAAAGGAUCAGUGAC